CAGAAGGUAAUUAAAUGGGAAAGGGGGGGGAGGGUAGAUUCCUGCUUGACAACUCAAGUUUUUAAGACGUCCUGGUUCGCGACAGGGUCUCAGUUCGCCCUCUGCAGCCGUGAGAGAAAGAGGUUUUUGGUGACGACGCAAGUGGAAUAAAGAAUGGCAGUGUUAGCAUUUCUUGCUCUCUCUCUGCUGUUAUCCGCAGCCACGGCGCAGAAUGGGGGCAGCGUGACCUGCCCCUCCUCCUGCUCCGACCGGUUCCGUCCCGUGUGCGGCACCGACAACAAGGCGUACGGAAACGAGUGUAAACUUCUGCAGGAGGCCUGUCGGCGCCCCGGCCCGGAAAAAAAGAACGAGGACCCGG